rnacentral:rRNA from 1 species
GAUGAACGCUAGCGGCAGGCUUAAUACAUGCAAGUCGAGGGGCAGCAUGAGUAGCAAUACUUGAUGGCGACCGGCAAACGGGUGCGGAACACGUACAGAACCUUCCUUCGAGCGGGGAAUAGCCCGGAGAAAUCCGGAUUAAUACCCCAUAGUAAAUUGAAAAGGCAUCUUUUUAAUUUUAAAGAUUUAUCACUUGAAGAUGGCUGUGCGCCUGAUUAGGUAGUUGGCGGGGUAACGGCCCACCAAGCCUUCGAUCAGUAACUGGUGUGAGAGCACGACCAGUCACACGGGCACUGAGACACGGGCCCGACUCCUACGGGAGGCAGCAGUAAGGAAUAUUGGUCAAUGGACGCAAGUCUGAACCAGCCAUGCCGCGUGGAGGAUGAAGGUCCUCUGGAUUGUU